AUGAACGCUGGCGGCGUGCCUAAUACAUGCAAGUCGAGCGGUAAAGACUUUCACAUUUCUCAUCUCUCCCAUUUAUUUGGGACAAAAGAGGUGCGAAGCGGUGAAAGUACACGAGCGGCGGACGGCAAGAGUAACACGUAGGGAACCUACCCCAAACUGAGGGAUAACUGCUCGAAAGAGUAGCUAAUACCGCAUACCAUCUUCGGAUGAAAGCUACGGCGGUUUGGGAAGGGCCUGCGUAUGAUUAGCUUGUUGGUAAGGUAACGGCUUACCAAGGCGACGAUCAUUAGCUGGUCUGAGAGGAUGAUCAGCCUGACUGGAACUGAGACACGGUCCAGACUCCUACGGGAGGGCAGGCAGUAGGGGAAUUUUCCACAAUGGGGGGCAACCCUGAUGGAGCAACGCCGCGUGCAGGAUGAAGGCCUUCGGGUCGUAAACUGCUUUUAUUUGUGACGAUUAUGACAGUAGCAAAUGAAUAAGGAUCGGCUAACUACGUUGCCAGCAGCCGCGGGUCAUACGUAGGAUCCGAGCGUUAUCCGGAAUUACUGGGCGUACGGUAAAGAGUUGCGUAGGUGGUUUGUUAAGUGAAUAGUGAAAUCGUGCGGCUCAACCGCAUACACAUUAUUUAUACUGGCAGACUUGAGUAUGGUAGAGGUCACUGGAAUUCCAAGUGUAGGAGUGAAAUCCGUAGAUAUUUGGAGGAACACCGAUGGCGUAGGCAGGUGACUGGGCCAUAACUGACACUGAGGCACGAAAGCGUGGGGGAGGCAAACGGGAUUAGAUACCCCGGUAGUCCACGCCCCUAAACGAUGGAUGCUAGCAGUUUCGGAGUAUCGACCCUUGAAGUUGCGAAGCUAACGCGUUUAAGCAUCCCGCCUGUGGAGUACGAACGCAAGUUUAAAACAUAAAGGAAUUGACGGGGACCCGCACAAGCGGUGAUGGAGCGUGUUGUUUAAUUCGAUGGUAAGCGAAAGAACCUUACCCAGGCUUGACUUCCUCGGAAUUUUUACGAAAGUAAAUUGUGCCUUCGGGAACCGAGAGACAGGUGUUGCAUGGCCGUCGUCAGCUCGUGUCGUGAGAUGUUAGGGUUAAGUCCUUCAACGAGCGCAACCCUUGUAUUCAGUUGAAUUUUUCUGAAUAGACUGCCCUGGUAACAGGGAGGAAGGGGGGGGAUGAUGUCAGGUCAGUAUUACCCUUACGUCUGGGGCUACAAACACGCUACAAUGGCCGGUACAAAGGGCUGCCAACCCGCGAGGGGGAGCAAAAUCCUAUCAAAGCCGGUCUCAGUUCGGAUUGCAGGCUGAAACUCGCCUGCAUGAAGCUGGAAUCGCUAAGUAACGGUAAGUCAGCACAUUACCGUGAAUACGUUCCCGGGUCUUGUACACACCGCCCGUCAAACCAUGAAAGUCACCAAUACCUGACGUCCAGUUCGCUGGCCUAAGGUAUGGUCGGUAAUUGGGGGU
rnacentral:rRNA from 1 species